GGUUUAGCUCAGCGGCAUAAGCACCUGCCUUGAAAGCAGGUGGUCGUGAGUUCGAUCCCCAGUACCA
rfam:Cavia porcellus supercont2_32 genomic scaffold, whole genome shotgun sequence.